rnacentral:rRNA from 1 species
CAAAGUCUCGUUGGUGACCAGCGGAGGGACAUUACCGAGUUUACAACUCCCAAACCCAAUGUGAACGUUACCAAACUGUUGCCUCGGCGGGGUCACGCCCCGGGUGCGUCGCAGCCCCGGAACCAGGCGCCCGCCGGAGGAACCAACCAAACUCUUUCUGUAGUCCCCUCGCGGACGUAUUUCUUACAGCUCUGAGCAAAAAUUCAAAAUGAAUCAAAACUUUCAACAACGGAUCUCUUGGUUCUGGCAUCGAUGAAGAACGCAGCGAAAUGCGAUAAGUAAUGUGAAUUGCAGAAUUCAGUGAAUCAUCGAAUCUUUGAACGCACAUUGCGCCCGCCAGUAUUCUGGCGGGCAUGCCUGUCCGAGCGUCAUUUCAACCCUCGAACCCCUCCGGGGGAUCGGCGUUGGGGAUCGGGACCCCUCACACGGGUGCCGGCCCCUAAAUACAGUGGCGGUCUCGCCGCAGCCUCUCCUGCGCAGUAGUUUGCACAACUCGCACCGGGAGCGCGGCGCGUCCACGUCCGUAAAACACCCAACUUUCUGAAAUGUUGACCUCGGAUCAGGUAGGAAUACCCGCUGAACUUAAGCAUAUCAAUAAGCGGAGGA